rnacentral:rRNA from 1 species
UACGUAGGGCGCAAGCGUUGUCCGGAAUUAUUGGGCGUAAAGAGCUCGUAGGUGGUUUGUCGCGUCUGCCGUGAAAGCCCGGGGCUUAACUCCGGGUCUGCGGUGGAUACGGGCAGACUAGAGGCAGGUAGGGGAGAACGGAAUUCCCGGUGUAGCGGUGAAAUGCGCAGAUAUCGGGAGGAACACCUGUGGCGAAGGCGGCCGGCUGGGGGUGCCCUGACGCUGAGGCGCGAAAGCGUGGGGAGCGAACAGG